GAUGAACGCUAGCAGGAUGCUUAACACAUGCAAGUCGAACGGGAAUGUAGCAAUACAUUUUAGUGGCGAACGGGUGAGUAACACGUGCAUAACAUGCCCCGGAGAGGCGGACAACUAUGGAAACGUAGCUAAACCGCCAUACGCCUAUGAGGAAGAGAAGAAUCAUAGGGAAAUAAUUUAUUGCUCUGGGAGUGGUGCGCGGCCUAUCAGUUAGUUGGGGAGGUAAAAGCUCACCAAGACUAAGACGGGUAGCCGAUCUGAGAGGAUGACCGGCCACAAUGGGACUGAGACACGGCCCAUACUCCUACGGGAGGCAGCAGUGGGAAAUAUUGCGCAAUGGACGAAAGUCUGACGCAGCAAUCCUGCGUGUAUGACGAAGCCCUAAGGGGUGUAAAGUACUUUUUUGGGGUAAGGACGAAUGACGGUACCCAACGAAUAAGGGAAGUGGCGUAACUAACGUGCCA
rnacentral:rRNA from 1 species